CGACCGGCGCAUGGGUGAGUAACACGUAUCCAACCUGCCGAUGACUCGGGGAUAGCCUUUCGAAAGAAAGAUUAAUACCCGAUGGCAUAGUUCUUCCGCAUGGUAGAACUAUUAAAGAAUUUCGGUCAUCGAUGGGGAUGCGUUCCAUUAGGUUGUUGGCGGGGUAACGGCCCACCAAGCCUUCGAUGGAUAGGGGUUCUGAGAGGAAGGUCCCCCACAUUGGAACUGAGACACGGUCCAA
rnacentral:rRNA from 1 species